rnacentral:rRNA from 1 species
AGAACGAACGCUGGCGGCAUGCCUAACACAUGCAAGUCGAACGAGACCUUCGGGUCUAGUGGCGCACGGGUGCGUAACGCGUGGGAAUCUGCCCUUGGGUUCGGGAUAACAGUUGGAAACGACUGCUAAUACCGGAUGAUGACUUCGGUCCAAAGAUUUAUCGCCCAGGGAUGAGCCCGCGUAGGAUUAGCUUGUUGGUGAGGUAAAAGCUCACCAAGGCGACGAUCCUUAGCUGGUCUGAGAGGAUGAUCAGCCACACUGGGACUGAGACACGGCCCAGACUCCUACGGGAGCAGCAGUGGGGAUAUGGACAAUGGCGAAAGCCUGAUCCAGCAAUGCCGCGUGAGUGAUGGAAGCUUAGGUGUAAAGCUCUUUACCGGAUGAUAAGUGACAGUACCGGAGAAUAAGCCCGAUAACGUCGUA